ACUAAAAACCUAGCCCCCCACAUCCCGAUGAAUCGCUAUAUUUUAUCUUUUAAACUAAAACAUUCUUACACCUUAGUAAAGGCGAUUGAAAAGCUACUAGGAGCUAUACAAAUAGUACCGCAAGGGAAAGGUGAAAUAAAAAUGAAAUAAUUUUUAAGUACAAGAUAGUAGAGACCUGCCCUCGUACCUUUUGCAUCAUGGUUUAACUAGUCAAAUUAAGCAAAAUGUCUUAUAGUUUAACUUCCCGAAACUAGGCGAGCUACUUCAGGGCAGCUUAUUGAGCUAACCCGUCUCUGUUGCAAAAGAGUGGGGUGACCUUCAAGUAGGGGUGACAGACCUAACGAGCCUAGUGAUAGCUGGUUAUUCAGGAAAAGGAUUUAAGUCCAACCUAAAGUUUGCCGAAUACAACUAAAUAAUAAAGCUCACUUUAGAGCAAUUCAAAUAAGGUACAGCCUAUUUGAAACAGGAUACAACCUCUUAAGGUGGGUAAUUAUAUUCCAUGAUAAUUAAGUAGGCCUAAAAGCAGCCACCUUUAAAAUAGCGUCAAAGCUUCAUUAUCCCCUUUCUACAAUUCCUUUAAUAUUACAGAACCCUCUAUUAGUACUGAAUACUUCCAUACUCGUAUGGAAUAUUUUAUGUUAAAACUAGUAACAAGAAGAAGACCUUCACUACAAUGUAAGUGUAAAUCAGGUAGGACAUGCCACUGAUCAUUAACACGUAUGCAGAAAAAUUAAUAACUUUACAAGAAAAACUUAAUUUCCUUUAUGUUAACCUAACACAAGAACAUUGCAAGUAAGAUUAAAAGAAAAAGAAGGAACUCGGCAAAUAUUAACCUCGCCUGUUUACCAAAAACAUCGCCUCUUGACAACUAUAAGAGGUCCAGCCUGCCCAGUGACCCUGUUCAACGGCCGCGGUAUCCUAACCGUGCGAAGGUAGCGUAAUCACUUGUUCUUUAAAUGAGGACUAGUAUGAAUGGCAUCACGAGGGUUAUACUGUCUCCUUUUUCUAAUCAGUGAAACUAAUCUCCCCGUGAAGAAGCGGGGAUGAGUAUAUAAGACGAGAAGACCCUAUGGAGCUUUAAACUAAAUGACACCUGCUUUUAAUUUUUACUCUCCCGAGUACUUACAUUUAUUUCAGCCUUUUGAUUAUUAGUUUUAGGUUGGGGUGACCACGGAGCAAAAAACAGCCUCCACGUUGGACGGGGUUAAUCCCCUGAGCCGCGAGCUACAUCUCCACGCACCAAUAAAUUGACAUAAAUUGACCCAAUAUAUUGAUCAACGAACCAAGUUACCCUAGGGAUAACAGCGCAAUCCGCUUCAAGAGCUCCUAUCGACAAGCGGGUUUACGACCUCGAUGUUGGAUCAGGGUAUCCCAGUGGUGCAGCCGCUACUAAAGGUUCGUUUGUUCAACGAUUAAAACCCU
rnacentral:rRNA from 1 species